GGGCGAAUGGAGGAUGCCUAGACAUCAAAAGACGACGAAGGACGCGGCGUAGCAGCGAUAUGCUUCGGGGAGGUGCGUAGCAACCGACGAUCCGGAGAUUUCCGAAUGGGGAAACCUAACUUAGUAAACCUAAGUUGUCCCGCAGCAAUGUGGGAAGUAAACCCGCUGAAGUGAAACAUCUCAGUAGGCGGAGGAAUCAAAAACAAUAGUUAUUCCCUGAGUAGCGGCGAGCGAAACGGGAAGAGCCGAAACCAGUGCAUCGCACUAAGGUGCGAUGCAGAAUAAUGAAUAACGAAUUAUGAAUUAUGGAAUUUAAAACCCUUAAUUCAUUAUUCAUACUUCAUAAUUCUGCGCGACGCGCUUUAGCGCGGUGCGCUGGGGUAAUAAGGGAGAAACGCUGAAAUCUCUAAUCAUUCUCGAAUGUAUAUUCGCGAAUUAUUCGCGAAGUUAGGUUCGGGAUGAUUAGUGAUUUUAAGGAGAAGUUACAAAGUUGUUUGUUAGCCGAAAUUUUCUGGAAAGUGAUGCCAAAGAGGGUGAAAGCCCCGUAGGCGAAAACGAAUAACCUUCUUAGUUUCUCAAGUCCUGCAUCUCACGAAUAUCACGAAUUUGACGGCGCGAAUUUUGAGACAGAUUCGCGGCGCGAGAAGUGAAGCGUACGCGAUGUACGCGAGCGACGAGCAACAAAGAAAAUGGCUUAAAUUCGCCCGCCCGCAAGGGAAGCGAGAAAAUGGCCGAGUUCCGCGUUGCUCCUCCUCGCAGUGCAUCCAGCACUGCUUCGUUGUCGCGCCUUGAACUUGUAUCAUUUUAUCGCUUUCAAAUUUCGCGAGAUUCGUGAGAUGCAGGACCCUUCAGUACUUCGAGGCCAGAACACUUCGAAGGAAUUCGCGAGUACUAUCUCGCAAGGCUAAAUACUUUUGAUGAUCGAUAGUGAACAAGUACCGUGAGGGAAAGGUGAAAAGCAGGCCGGUGAGGCCGUUGAAAUAGAACCUGAAACCAUUCGCCUACAAGGAACUGGAGCGCUCCCGCUGUUGCUCAGCGUUCGCGCAAAUCCGAAAUUUCAAGCACUAAAUUAUAAACAAAUUACAAAUUUUAAUGUUUUAAACAUUUGAAAUUUUUAUAUUGUGAUUUGUUUCUGAUUUGGAAAUUAAGAUUUUGAAUUUGGAACGCCGAGCAGCAGCGAAGCGUGACAGUGUGCCUAUUGAAGAAUGAUCCAACGACUUAUGGUGCAUUGCUUGUGUAAGCCCCAAAGGGGUGUACGCACAGGGAAACCGAGUCUUAAUAGGGCGUAUCUCUUGUCGUGGACAAGAGCGCGGAACAUCGCGGAACAAACGCAGAAUUACGCGGAAGUUUAUAGCGUAUUUAUAAUUUUCCGCGUCAGUCAGCGUAAAGUCAGCGUAAGUCAGCGUUCUCGCCUACGGCGAGAGAAGGCAGUGCAUUAUAGACCCGAAGCCAGAUGAGCUUGCCUUGGCCAGGAUGAAUCCCGCAGAAAUGCGGGAGGAGGUCCGAACCGGUUGAUUGUUCAAAAUCUUCGGAUGAGCUGAGGUAAGGAGUGAAAAGCUAAUCGAAUUUGGUAAUAGCUGGUUCUCUCCGAAAUAGUUUUAGGACUAGCGUGUGUGUUUAGCGUUCUGCGGGUAGAGCACUGGAUGAGCGGUAAAGGGCGAAAGCUCAGCCGCUCAAUCAAACUCCGAAUAGCGGAAACGUGGUCACAUACAGUUAGACUGCGGGGGCUAAGCUCCGUGGUCAAAAGGGAAACAGCCCAAAUCAUCAUCUAAGGCCCCUAAGUGUAUGCUAAGUGUAGAAGGUAGUCUCGCGCCGUAGACAGAUAGGAGGUUGGCUUAGAGGUAGCCAUCCUUUAAAGAGUGUGUAACAACUCACUAUUCGAUGGCGAGUGGCGCCGAAAAUGUAUCGGGGCUAAGCAUACUGCCGAAGAUAUGAAUGCCAGUGCUUUGCACUGGGAAGCACGAAAUUCCAAGCACUAAAUUCUAAACAAUUUUCAAAUUAAAAUAUUCAAAAUUUUUGUAGUUUGGGAAAUUAAAUAUUGUUUCGGAUUUAUAAUUUGUAAUUUCGAAUUUCCAGCGCAGAGCGCUGGCGUGGUAGGAGAGCAUUCCCGUUGCGUCGAAGCUGUACCCGUGAGGGGCGGUGGAGCGGCGGGAAGAGAGAAUGUUGGAAUGAGUAACCACAAUCCUAAUGAGAAAUUGGGACCCCGAAAAUCCAAGGUUUCCGUGGCACUGGCAAUCAACCACGGGUUAGUCGGCCCUAAGUCAAUGGUGAAAACCGCAGACGAUGGACAGACGGUUAAUAUUCCGUCACUUCUAUGUAUUUCGAUGGAGGGACGAGGUUCAGUAGAUGGAGCGCCUUAUUGGUUUGGCGUCCUUGCGCGAGGUUGUGCUUUUGGUAAAUCCGGAGCGCUGUGUUUAAUCACGAAUCCCAGCAAAAAGGCAAUUGUCGGUUUUACCGGCGAACGUUCAUCGAGCGAGUCUUCAAGAAAAACUUCUAAGGUUAAAUAUAUAGGAUCCGUACCGUAAACCGACACAGGUGGAUAGGUCGAGAAGACCAAGGGGAACGAGUGAUUCGCCGUCAAGGAACUAGGCAAAAAAGCGGCCGUAAGUUAGCGAUAAGGCCUUCGUCAGUGCGUAGCACUGACGCGCGGAACAACGCGGAACGAACGCAGAACUACGCAAAAGUUUAUAAUUCAGUUGUAAAUUUUUCCGCGUUAAUCGGCGUAAAGUCCGCGUGAGUCAGCGCGCCAAUGCUACGCAUUUGGCGACGCAGCGAAAGUCUUCCUGGCGACUGUUUACCAAAAACACAGCUCCCUGCUAACUCGCAAGAGGAUGUAUAGGGGGUGACACCUGACCGAUGCGAGAAGGUCAAGUCUGGCGGUGGUGCGUAGCAAUACGUACUGCUGACUGGAUCAAGCCCUCGUCAAUGUCAGCGAUAACUAUAAUCGUUCUAAGGUGAUUGCAUUGCCUUAGUAAAAUCUAACUAUAUGCUGGAAUACCCGCGCAUAUUGAAGUACCGAAAGGUAACAAUCUUCAAUCGAUGCGGACAAUC
rnacentral:rRNA from 1 species